GAUGAACGCUGGCGGCGUGCCUAAUACACGCAAGUCGAGCGAACAGACGAGGAGCUUGCUCCUCUGACGUUAGCGGCGGACGGGUGAGUAACACGUGGAUAACCUACCUAUAAGACUGGGAUAACUUCGGGAAACCGGAGCUAAUACCGGAUAAUAUAUUGUACCGCAUGGUUCAAUAGUGAAAGACGGUUUUGCUGUCACUUAUAGAUGGAUCCGCGCCGCAUUAGCUAGUUGGUAAGGUAACGGCUUACCAAGGCAACGAUGCGUAGCCGACCUGAGAGGAUGAUCGGCCACACUGGAACUGAGACACGGUCCAGACUCCUACGGGAGGCAGCAGUAGGGAAUCUUCCGCAAUGGGCGAAAGCCUGACGGAGCAACGCCGCGUGAGUGAUGAAGGUCUUCGGAUCGUAAAACUCUGUUAUUAGGGAAGAACAAAUGUGUAAGUAAAUAUGCACGUCUUGACGGUACCUAAUCAGAAAGCCACGGCUAACUACGUG
rnacentral:rRNA from 1 species